AAGGUUAAAACUCAAAGGAAUUGACGGGGGCCCGCUCAAGCGGUGGAGCAUGUGGUUUAAUUCGAUGCAACGCGAAGAUCCUUACCUGGGCUUGACAUGUCCGGAAUUCUGCAGAGAUGCGGGAGUACCCUUCGGGGAAUCGGAACACAGGUACUGCAUGGCUGUAGUCAGCUCGUGUCGUGAGAUGUUGGGUUAAGUCCCGCAACGAGCGCAAUCCUUGUCUUUAGUUUCCAGCGGUUCGACCGGGCUCUCUAGGGAGUCUGCCGGUGACAAACCGGAGGAAGGUGGGGAUGACGUCAAGUCCUCAUGGCCUUUAUGUCCAGGUCUACACACGUGCUACAAUGGCGCGUACAGUGGGAAAUCAUGUCGUGAGGUGGAGCAGACCCCAAAUAGCACGUUGAAGUUCGGAUUGCAGUCUGCAACUCUAAUGCAUGAAGUCGGAAUCGUUAGUAAUCGAGGAUCAGCAUUUACGCGGUGAAUACGU
rnacentral:rRNA from 1 species